AUUGAACGCUGGCGGCAUGCUUUACACAUGCAAGUCGAACGGUAACAGGGAGCUUGCUCCGCUGACGAGUGGCGAACGGGUGAGUAAUGCAUCGGAACGUACCGUGUAAUGGGGGAUAACGUAGCGAAAGUUACGCUAAUACCGCAUACGCCCUGAGGGGGAAAGUGGGGGACCGCAAGGCCUCACGUUAUACGAGCGGCCGAUGUCGGAUUAGCUAGUUGGUGGGGUAAAGGCCUACCAAGGCGACGAUCCGUAGCGGGUCUGAGAGGAUGAUCCGCCACACUGGGACUGAGACACGGCCCAGACUCCUACGGGAGGCAGCAGUGGGGAAUUUUGGACAAUGGGGGCAACCCUGAUCCAGCCAUGCCGCGUGAGUGAAGAAGGCCU
rnacentral:rRNA from 1 species